rnacentral:rRNA from 1 species
UACGAAGGGGGCUAGCGUUGCUCGGAAUCACUGGGCGUAAAGCGCACGUAGGCGGAUUUGUAAGUCAGGGGUGAAAUCCCGGGGCUCAACCUCGGAACUGCCUUUGAUACUGCGAAUCUUGAGUCCGAUAGAGGUGGGUGGAAUUCCUAGUGUAGAGGUGAAAUUCGUAGAUAUUAGGAAGAACACCGGUGGCGAAGGCGGCCCACUGGAUCGGUACUGACGCUGAGGUGCGAAAGCGUGGGGAGCGAACAGG